rnacentral:rRNA from 1 species
UAAGUAAUGUGAAUUGCAGAAUUCAGUGAAUCAUCGAAUCUUUGAACGCACCUUGCGCCCCUUGGUAUUCCGAGGGGCACGCCUGUUUGAGUGUCGUGAAAUUCUCAA